rnacentral:rRNA from 1 species
UAAGGAAUAUUGGUCAAUGGACGCAAGUCUGAACCAGCCAUGCCGCGUGAAGGAUGAAGGUCCUCUGGAUUGUAAACUUCUUUUAUCUGGGACGAAAACGGGAUUUUUAUCUCAAUUGACGGUACCAGAGGAAUAAGCACCGGCUAACUCCGUGCCAGCAGCCGCGGUAAUACGGAGGGUGCGAGCGUUAUCCGGAUUUACUGGGUUGAAAGGGUGCGUAGGUGGGCUUAUAAGUCAGUGGUGAAAUCUCCGAGCUUAACUUGGAAACUGCCGUUGAUACUAUAGGUCUUGAAUUAUCUGGAGGUACGCGGAAUAUGUCAUGUAGCGGUGAAAUGCUUAGAUAUGACAUAGAACACCAAUUGCGAAGGCAGCUUACUACAUAUAAAUUGACGCUGAGGCACGAAAGCGUGGGGAUCAAACA